rnacentral:rRNA from 1 species
AAUAGAUACCCGGGUAGUCCACGCUGUAAACGAUGUCAACUAGCUGUUGGUUAUAUGAAAAUAAUUAGUGGCGCAGCAAACGCGAUAAGUUGACCGCCUGGGGAGUACGGUCGCAAGAUUAAAACUCAAAGGAAUUGACGGGGGCCCGCACAAGCGGUGGAGCAUGUGGUUUAAUUCGAUGCAACGCGAAGAACCUUACCUACCCUUGACAUACAGUGAAUAAAGCAGAGAUGCAUUAGUGCCUUCGGGAACACUGAUACAGGUGCUGCAUGGCUGUCGUCAGCUCGUGUCGUAAGAUGUUGGGUUAAGUCCCGUAACGAGCGCAACCCUUAUCCUUAGUUGCCAUCGCGUAGAGGCGGGAACUCUAAGGAGACUGCCGGUGACAAACCGGAGGAAGGCGGGGAUGACGUCAAGUCAUCAUGGCCCUUACGGGUAGGGCUACACACGUGCUACAAUGGCCGAUACAGAGGGCAGCGAAGGGGCGACCUGGAGCAAAUCUUAGAAAGUCGGUCGUAGUCCGGAUUGGAGU